rnacentral:lncRNA from 1 species
UCUUCCUCUCUCUCCCUCUUUUUAAAAAAAUUUAAAAAAUAAAAAUUACCAGAAAGAAAGUCAAGGGGUCGACUCACAGAGUGUGGCAGCCAAAAAUUUUGCGUGCCGUUAAACUUUUUUAGCCAUGAGUCGAAUAAUGGGGUCGACUAAAAAAUAUAAAUCUAUUUUUCUUAGAAAAUAUGCUUACAAAAAUAUUGAAAUUGCCUCUAAUAGAUUACACAUCUUUUGUUCUUGCUUUUGAGACUUCAGAAUCAUAUCUGAUAAAAUUAUAAUUUUUUUUCUUCAUUUUUUAACUUUUUAAUGUAUUUAUUUUUUGAUCAAAAUUUAAUUCAAAUUAAAAUUUUUUAAGUCACAUUUAUAAAAUACCCGAAAAAAUAAAUUGUAAUUAAUUUAAUUACGUUUUAUUCUUUUAUGAAAUAUUUUUUUU